AUCAUUUUUUGGCCUUUUGGCUAAGAUCAAGUAUAAUAUUAUUAUCAGUUUAAUAUCUGCUAUAUCAAAAAAAUUUAUAUUGAAAACAAUUCCCCUCUGUGCUUCAACUACA
rfam:Gorilla gorilla gorilla genomic chromosome, chr21, whole genome shotgun sequence